rnacentral:rRNA from 1 species
ACAACACUAUUCGCCAGAGAACUACAAGCGAAAAACUAGAAACUCCAAGGACUUGGCGGUGCUCCACACCAACCUAGAGGAGCCUGUCCUAUAAUCGAUACCCCACGCUAAACCCCACCAUCUUUUGCCCCUCAGCCUAUAUACCGCCGUCGUCAGCCUACCUUAUGAAAGACAAACAGUCGGCAAAAUAGUUAACAACUAAUACGUCAGGUCAAGGUGUAGCACAUAGGAUGGAAGGAGAUGGGCUACAUUUUCUGCCCCAGAACAUACGAAUGACACAAUGAAACAUGCACCUGAAGGCGGAUUUAGAAGUAAGAUAAAAAAGCAACACUAUCUUAACCCCGCUCUGGAGCGCGCACACACCG